CGUUAGGCUUGACCGGGGAGCUUGGCGUGCCCUUCACCCGCAAUCGUCAAUAGCGGGGGUGACUGCAAGGGGCGGCAAAGCUGAACAUUCAAGCCCGCAGAGCAACUAUGAGAUCUUGUCCUGCAGAGUCGGCGUAUGCGUUACAGGCAACCGGAGGGUCGUUUUGUGCGCACCAAUCAGGGAGACCGGGUCAGGUCCUGACGGGAGCAGCCUUACUUUGAACUACUGACGUUUGCGGGGAAGCAGGGUUGAGGAACAAUGCGGCCAACUUGAAGCGGGAUGCGAUGUCCACCUUUGUGGCCUAACA
rnacentral:SRP_RNA from 1 species